rnacentral:sRNA from 1 species
AUGGAUCUUUUGCCUGAAUUUGAAGAUGAAAAUCCAAGCAACUCCUCUGCCAUGAUUGCACCUACUGAAGAUAAACUUUCAUGGUCUCCGAAUCCCCGCGGAGUCUUUGAUCUCAAAUCUGCAUAUAGUCUAGCCACUAAUAAUGAGCCUUGCCAGUUUGAUGGGGAGUGGAUUUGGAAGGUGAAAGUUCUACCUAAAAUCAAAUUCUUUGCCUGGAAAUGCAUGCAUAACAGUGUCAGGGUUAAAGCCUGCCUCGUGGAAUGGGGGAUGAGUACAAAUAUGUUGUGCCCUUUGUGUGGAUUGGAGGUGGAAACCAUUGUCCAUGCUCUUCGGGAUUGCAGGACAAUGAGAGAAGUGUGGUUCAAUUUAGGUGUAGCAAGGAAUGAUAUGGAGUUUUUCAAUGGAGAGUUGAAAUUGUGGAUGACUAAAAACGUCAGGGCAACCCUUCCCCUUCAUUGGGAUACCACUUUUUCUAUUUGCCAUUUGGAUAUUAUGGCAGAGAAGGAACUUGGUUUUAUUCCAAAACAAACCCGUUUCUCCCAACACGCACAUUGAGAUUAUCCAAAGAGCUCAAGAAUUUAUUCACUGUGGCAUUAAUGCUGUGACUGAACACAAACGGGUUCUCAAAGCCAUUCGUUAGGAGAGGCCUAAUAGAGGAUGGGUUAAGCUAAAUACUGACGGGUCAUCUUCAAGGAAUCUAGGACCAACAGGGUGUGGUGGGAUUCUUCGUGAUGAUAAUGGAGAUUGGUUGCUUGGGUUCUCCAGGAAAAUCGGGAUUACCACGAGCUUUAUGGCAGAAUUAUGGGCUGUAAGGGAGGGACUAUCCCUUUGUCUGCAUAGAAACUUCCCUGUUGUAGAAUUAGAGUUGGAUGCUAGAAGUAUUUUUGAUGUGCUAACCAACCUAAACCAGUCUAACAAUAUCAUAUCUGCCAUUCUUGAUGACUGCAGGCAGAUGAAGGUCCAUGUUCCUCAGCUUAGAGUUAGACACUACUAUAGAAAGGCGAACCGUUGCGUAGACAAGCUAGCCCAAAUGGGAGUGCAGCAGCUUGGUAGUCUUUUGCUUGUAUGAAGAUUCACCUCAGGAACUUCAAUCUGAUUUAGAAUUUGAUAAUUCCAAAUUGUAUGUUAACAGGCGAUGCCCUGAGACUUUGUCUUUUGUUUAGUUUAAUGAAUUUCCAUUUUCACCAAAAGAAAAAAGAGAUGUUUAUAUUAUUUUAUUUUGCUGAAAAUUAAAAUAAAUCUAAUUUAGCUUUUUGUAGUGCCAAAUAGUUAAAAUACAACCACAGAGUUAACAGAGUAUUGAUAUGGACUUGAACAAGCUAUUUAUUUAAAAAGUUUUGGACAUGUGGCACAAAGUUAUUGGCACACAAGGGAAUGGAAAUCUGAUGAAAUUCUCUCCGCUUAAAGUAGAACCUAACCUUAUUCUAGAACCACGCAACCCAACACCCAAACCCCCAUAGCGGCAGCCUCAACUGGUGACCCCAAUCGGAAACUCUAAGGCGGCGACCAUAGUCGGCUAUUCCAAGGCGUCAACCCCGACUGGCGACACUAAUUUUGGGUGGCUGGUUUGAAUCUUUAUGUCAUUGUGAAAGGUUUGUGUGAAGCUUUAGGAAAUUUGUAUUUGGACUUUGGCGUGAUCUUUUUUUUUUUGAAAACUUUGUUGCUCAGUAACUGAGAUGCCAUCUUUGUAGGUUGGUAUGGGGUUAUUUUGUUGAAUCUUGAAUCUCUGAGAUGCCAUCAAAGCAUCAUAAAGUUUUCUUUGUCGUAUUUGCAUGCACACUUCAAGGACCUACAGUACUAAGCCAAAAGAAUUGGAGAACCUGCAAGGCUGCGAUUACUUAGAUUUGAACUGAUUUCAGUUUUUCCUAGUCUUCUUUGAUAGAUUGACAGCCCAAAGAAAAUGAAUAUGAUGGUCCAAUUCCAUUGGGUAGGGGGCCCGGGCCCCCUUGGACCCCAUACUGGAUCUAUCUCUGCUUGUCAGUAUGGUAAAUUUUUGUCAAGAAUCUUAUAAUUCAUAAUUCAUCAAGUUGAUAUCUAUUGGUAUUUGCAAUGUUUAAAUCUCGUGUCCCAACCAUCGAAUUAUCAAUGACAAAAUGUACCGUAUAAUUUUCCGUUUAAUUGGCGCUACUUUUUCUUAAAAUUUAAGCAUUUUCAAGUGAGACUGCUUCAGCAAUGUGGGAACACAAGAAAUUAUAAACAAUGACGUAUUAUAGUCAUUUGACUCAAUUUAUAGUCCUCUACUGACUGGGAAAAUGGGGUUGGUUGUAGAAAGUGGAAAGUGGUUUAAGGCAUGUUACGCGUUUAAAGCUUUUACCUUUUACUCGUUGACUGACUCUAUGGAUUGACUAGAUGAUGCUCAAUGAUUUAUACAUGGCAGUCUCAUAAUAAUAGUUAGUUAAUAUCAUACUUGUUAACUGUUACUCUCACUGUCUUUACUUACCUCUCGGGUUUUGCAUUCUGGGAUUUCAAUUUCAUUGAAAAGAAUUCCAGAGUUGAACUCGUACUUCUUAACGGUAAAUAGAGUGCGUCCAAAUCACAGGUCUGUCUCUUCAUGUUGGACAUCUAAUGGGGUGAAGGAAAUGUAUUCCAAGCGACUUAAAUUUUUCAGGUUAGUUUGCUUAAGCCUGAAUUUUAGCAGUCCCUCCUUCAGGGGGUUUUUGAGAAAUUAACUACAAAACCCAAACAAUAUUAUUAGUUAGGCAACGUUUCAAACAUAUUGCAUUUCUAACAAUUCGACUUCAGAGGAGUCGAUUUUACUGUUCAUAUAGCCUAUUUUUACUCAUUUUUUAUACAUAAAAAUCGACUUCAGUGGAGUCGAUUUCAAUACAUAAGAAAACGACUCCAGUGGAGUCGUUUUCUUUGUAUUGAAAUCGACUCCACUGAAGUCGAUUUGCCCAAAUAUUAACCUUCAGUUGUGUUGUCACAGAAGAAGCAAACGAUCUCAGAAGAAGCAAACGAACCCAGGUGAAGCACGAAGAACCCAGGCGCCGACGAACCCAAACACCGACCAGCAACACCGACGAGCGAACCCAGCAAACGAACCCAGGCGAAGUACGAAGAACCCAGGCGCCGACGAACCCAAACACCGACCAGCAACACCGACGAGCAAGCAGGCGCCGACGAACAAGCAGGCGCCGAUGAACCCAGGCGCCGAUUUCACCAGACCCCGACGAACCCAGCAACACCGACGGCGAAGCACGAAGAAUCCAGGCGCCGAUUCUGACCAAACCCCGGCGAUCGCAUCGGAUCAGUGGAGGACUCCGUUUUGGAUUUGA